rnacentral:ncRNA from 1 species
GAUAGGCCGCUGCGGCUACUGUGAUUGGACACUGACUCAGAGUCAACUAGCCUUGUCGUGGCGGUGCUUCGCGUGGGAACGCGGAGGGCCGGGACGGUCCGAGCCACGAGGGGGGAGGCUCGGGCCGUCCGUA